rnacentral:rRNA from 1 species
UCCUGCCGGACCCGACUGCUAUCAGAGUGGGACUAAGCCCUGCGAGUUAACGCCGCAAUGCGUGGCAUACGGCUCAGUAACACGUAGUCAACAUGCCCAGGGGACGUGGAUAACCUCGGGAAACUGAGGAUAAACCGCGAUAGGCCAAGGUUUCUGGAAUGGACAAUGGCUUAAACCUAUAUGGCCCCUGGAUUGGACUGCGGCCGAUCAGGCUGUUGGUGAGGUAAUGGCCCACCAAACCUGUUACCGGUACGGGCUCUGAGAGGAGGAGCCCGGAGAUGGGCACUGAGACAAGGGCCCAGGCCCUAUGGGGCGCAGCAGGUGCGAAACCUCUGCAAUAGGCGAAAGCUUGACAGGGUUACUCUGAGUGAUGUCCGCUAAGGGCAUCUUUUGGCACUUCUAAAAAUAGUGUAGAAUAAGGGGUGGGCAAGUCUGGUGUCAGCCGCCGCGGUAAUACCAGCACCCCGAGUGGUCGGGACGAUUAUUGGGCCUAAAGCAUCCGUAGCCGGUUCUGCAAGUCUUCCGUUUAAUCCACCUGCUCAACAGAUGGGCUGCGGAGGAUACUACAGGGCUAGGAGGCGGGAGAGGCAAGCGGUACUCAGUGGGUAGGGGUAAAAACCUCUGUGCACUGCAGAAAGCAGUGGCGAGGCGGUUUGCCAGACGCUCUCUACGGUGAAGGAUGAAACUUGGGAAGCUACCUGUUUAAUACCAAGAUAUAUCCGAUCGAAACGA